rnacentral:rRNA from 1 species
UGGGGAAUAUUGGACAAUGGGCGAAAGCCUGAUCCAGCCAUGCCGCGUGUGUGAAGAAGGUCUUCGGAUUGUAAAGCACUUUAAGUUGGGAGGAAGGACAUUAACCUAAUACGUUAGUGUUUUGACGUUACCGACAGAAUAAGCACCGGCUAACUCUGUGCCAGCAGCCGCGGUAAUACAGAGGGUGCAAGCGUUAAUCGGAAUUACUGGGCGUAAAGCGCGCGUAGGUGGUUUGUUAAGUUGGAUGUGAAAUCCCCGGGCUCAACCUGGGAACUGCAUUCAAAACUGACUGACUAGAGUAUGGUAGAGGGUGGUGGAAUUUCCUGUGUAGCGGUGAAAUGCGUAGAUAUAGGAAGGAACACCAGUGGCGAAGGCGACCACCUGGACUAGUACUGACACUGAGGUGCGAAAGCGUGGGGAGCAAACA